AAAGUUGCCCUUUUUUAAAAAAAAAGUUCACUUUUAUUGCCGGUUUCCUGCGCCGCUGUUGCUCUACUGUCGUUCCUGCUCUACUAUUCCGUUCCUGCUCCGUUGAUAUCGAGCUAUUCCGGCUCUGCAGAACUACCGCCGUUUCAUUCUGUUCCUUUCCUGCCGUGGCUGUUGCCCGUUCCGGCUCCUGUGUACCCGUUCCGGCUCCGCAUUGAGGGAAAAUUCUUCCGGCUCCGCUCUACUAACUACCGCCGUUUUAUUGUCCCAGUGCCACUGUCGCCAUUCCCGCCGCGGCUGUUGCCGUCCAAUAGGUGCAUCCGUUCCGGCUCCGCAUUGAAUGACCAGCUCCGCCCUACCAACUACCGCUCCCGAUUUUGUUGCCGUUCCGGACGUUUCGUUUUCAGCCUUGGCUGGUUCCGCCCAGUAGGUGUUCCCGUUCCGACUUCCCCCACAACUACCGAACGCAGGUGAUAUAGAAGGGAGGAUCGAGCGGCAACUGAACCAUCUCCGCGAAAAAAUUGGGGAAUCAUCGCUACAACCUCAAAUUGUCGCAGUGGGCACGAGCAACGAUGGUUAUUUUUGGCGGCGCGGAGUAUAUCGCAGAUAAUAUUGUGCAUGCUGUAUGCAUUUGUAUGCAUAUCACUUAUGUGCUAAAUUUGCGAUAUACUCCGGACUGCAAACCGCUGUGGCUCUUUGUUCAGUCAUACCUGUUAAAAAUCCCGGCGUCCAUUAUUGAG